CCCUUAGAUGUCCGGGGCUGCACGCGCGCUACACUGUAGAAAGCAGCGUGCUUUAAAACCUUUCCUGAAAAGGAUGGGUAACCCCAGCAAAAUUCUACGUGCUUGGGAUAGAGAUUUGCAAUUUUCUCUCUUGAACGAGGAAUUCCCAGUAAGUGCGAGUCAUCAGCUCGCGUUGAUUACGUCCCAGCCCUUUGUACACACCGCCCGUCGCUACUACCGAUUGGGAAAAUUUUAGAGAGUCCUGGACUGAUGAUUGUUCGGCUUCACGGCCUUACUUUCGUCGGGAAAGAAUUCGAUAAUAUUUUUCUAGAGGAAGUAAAAGUCGUAACA
rnacentral:rRNA from 1 species